rnacentral:rRNA from 1 species
UAUUAAAGGGGCUACGGCCCUGAACAUGGAUGGACCUGCGGUGCAUUAGCUAGUUGGUGAGGUAACGGCCCACCAAGGCGACGAUGCAUAGCCGACCUGAGAGGGCGAACGGCCACAUUGGGACUGAGACACGGCCCAAACUCCUACGGGAGGCAGCAGUAGGGAAUUUUCGUCAAUGGGGGGAACCCUGAACGAGCAAUGCCGCGUGAGUGAAGACGGUCUUCGGAUUGUAAAGCUCUGUUGCGAGAGAAAAACGACACGGAUAGGGAAUGAUCCGUGGGUGAUGGUAUCUCGCCAGAAAGUCACGGCUAACUAC